CAAAAUGAGGCAGAACUUAGCUUGUCACAUAGGUGUAUUCUUCCUGGAACCGAUGCGGGGUCAGAAAACUGAUGGCUUUUAAGCAAGCUGGACGGGUCCUCUCAGCGCAUUCCCCCACCCGCCUGGCGCCAAUGGAGCUGGCCUGGCCCGCCCAGCCCCUCCCCGCCCCGUCCGCGCUCGGACCGGACUUUCAGGACUGCAGGGGAAAGGGUGGACACCCAGCCUCCCGCCAGGUCAGAGCAGAGGCUAAAAAUGGCCCAGGGGAGACUGCUGGAGUUGCAUGGAGUUCGGGAGCCUAGGAGGGGUCUGAAAAUAACUGUCAAAAAGUUUGAAGGGUGUGUGUUGGCUUGGGGAAAAAAGAGGGUGGAGUGCAUUACAUAAAACUUUUGCAGCUUGUAUUUCCUUUUUUUUUUUUUAUGUUUAAGGACGGCGGAGAUACCUUCAACGUAAGACUGCAAUCAUAAUUAAAACAUGAAUAGUAACAUUUUAAGUUCGUUGUGCCAUUAUGAACUCAUGUUAGUGUUGGACAUUCUAUGAUCCCAGUCCUGUUUAGGCAACGUUAUUGAGGGAUUUAGUUUGCGGAUCUACCUUUCAGGGACAAAGAACCUAGACAGGGAAAGAACAGUAACUUUUGACAGAAAUUUUGCUUCCUGUGAGAUGUGGUUAUUCUCUUCCUUUCACAUCUGUUUGUAGUUCUUUUAGUUUUCCCAGGCAUUAAAUAAAUUAAACCCUCUUUCUUGGAAUCACCAAUAUAUUAAUAUAUUGGGGGGAAAAAGAUUUGAAUUACUUAGGAAGUUGAUGAACUACCCACUCCAACAAUAGAGCCCUGAAAAUCAGGCUUAAGCUUUUGGCCAUACUACUAAAGACUAUCCCUCCUGACAAACACACACCCUCUUUUUUUUUUUUUUUUUUUAACUGGUUGACAGAUCUUUUUUGCAUCAUCACCAUUUUCAGUUUAGAUUCUUACUAGGUGGGAUAAAUUUCACCAUUCUAAUAUCAGCCAUCACCAUUAUGCCUGGUGAAAAAUACAGAAUGUCUGGGCUGCAUCCUCAGAGUGUCUAAUUCGGUGUUUAUGGGAAAGGGACCCAGGAGAAUCUGCAUACCCAGCAAUCCAUGUUUUCAGGGUUGUGGCUUGGGAAAGAACUGUUCCAGACUUCUGCACUUCCUAAGGACCUAUUUUGUAGAUGUUGCAGUGGACGGAAUGUUUGUGCUUUCCCUUAAAUUCAUUUGUUAAAAUCCUAACCCCAAUGUGAUGGUAUUAGGAGAUGGGGCCUUUGGGAGGUAAUUCAUAGCAUAGAGGCCGCAUGAAUGCGAUUAGUGCCCUUAUAAAAAAGGGACCCAGAGAGCUGUCUCCAUCUUUCUGCCACAGGAGGAUACAAAAAUACAUCAGUUUGCAAACCAGAAGAAGGUCCUCACCAGAAACCAACUAUGCUGGCACCCUGAUCUUGGACUUCUAGCCUCCAGAACUGUGAGAAAUAAAUGUGUGUUUAUAAACCAGUCAGUCAGUCUAUGGUGCUUUAUUAUAGCAUCUGGAACGAGCUAAGACAGCUGCUAAGUAGCAUUCCAUUUGACAAGGAAGACUUACCAUUCACACUACUUCUGAGUUCAAUGAAAGAGAGGCUCGGUUCCUUACCUGUAAAAUAGAGAUCAUAUAGAGAUGUCGGGAAGAUUUAAUAACAUCAUGCAAGCAAUAUGCCUACAAGAGUGCCUGUAAAACAUUAAGCCUUGGAAAUAAAAGAAGCAGAACUGUAACAUCCUGAGAAAACACAGAGACAUUGAAGUAUAUGAGCACGACACAUCUGCAAAUCUUUAAGCAAAAUGGUAAAAGUGAGAGCUGUGUUCUCAUUAUAAGGCUAGCUAUGUUAAUAAACUCAGAAAAUAACAAUUGGAUCUUAAAAGAACAAAAUGAAAAAAUAAUCUUCUCCAGUAACAAAUUAUAUCUACCUGUCAACUAUUUCAUAAGAUAGAAAUGUUAGGGUUGGGCAUCAUAGCCCACACCCGUAAUCUAAGCACGUUGGGAGGCUGAGGCCAGAGGAUCGCUUGAGGCCAGAAGUCAGCACUCAAAUUUCUGAUAUGAUAAGCCAAACCACUGAUGGAAUCAAUAAAGCAGACUGACAAUCUGACACUAAACUAAGCAAACAGAUUUUGUAAGUUUAGAAACUAAGGCAUGAAUCUAUUAUACAGUCACUACAUCUGCAUCUGCCAGUAAACCUAAAGCUUAACUUCAUAGACAAAUUUGAUACCCUUAAAAUUGACUCUUUUUUUAUAUAAAGCAUUUGUGUGUUUUUUGCCACUAAAAUGGUUUAUGCUAACAUUCAAAUUCCUUAUCAUAUGUGAGACUGCCACCUGUGUCCCAAAUGACCACAAAGAGGAAGAAUGUGGGUUAUCGUUUGAAUAUAAUCAUGAUCACAGCAUUGAAGAGUAUAUGAUAGAGAUUUAAUACGGCCUUUCAAUAGACUGGGAGAGAGUCUAAUAUUAAUUUUCUAAAAAGUUCCCCUCUAGAAGAUACCAACCUUGGAUAUAAUAAUUACAAACCCUACUAAAAACCAAGUAAUUUUCUUUCAAUUCUGAAAAUUGUCCAAAAGGUGUUAACUCCUUCACUCAUCAGAAAAACACUGCAUGGCAGUCAAGCCAAACAAGGACUCAGCAAUAGCAUCGUUAACAAUUAUAAUUGAAACUUGGGUCACAAUAAGUGACAUCAACUUACCAUAGAAUUAUUCCAGUUCUAUUUUUAAUCCUAUUAAAGACAGUAAUUACAAUGGUAUAAUUACAGCCCCCAAAUACUCCAUACCUGGAAUGUGGCAGCUUCUGGAGCUUUUGGAUCAGUUUCACUCAGCUCAUUGGACAAGUGCCAAUUGGUAUUACCAAUGGUGCUUAAAGUUCUGAAAACUCAAUAAAGCUUUAAAAACCUUGAGGAACAAUAGCUCAUCAGGACACCCAAAGAAUAAUGUUACAUCAUGAAGACAAACAUUCUCAUUUUCUUUCUUCUGCAGAUUUCUUUUCCUGCCUGCACUUUCUUUGAGGUUGCAGUAGAGAGUGUGUGUCUACAGAAGGUACUGUAUGCAUAGCUAUAAGGAGGUCUUACCCUCUGUCUUUUUAUCUUUCUGGGCCCUUCUUUACCCUUGUUCUUCCUCUUCUCCUCUCUUAAUUCUAUAAUGGGUCUUCACAUAUUGCUGUACCUUCUCAUGUUACUUGAAUAGAAUUUUGAUACUUAAUCUGAAAAGCUGAUAAGUGAAAACAUUUGUUUUGUGGUAUAUUAAGUACUUUAUUGAAAUUAUUAAUUUCACAUAUUUUAAAGUUAUAUAGCUUUUAGCUAAUUUUUUGGAUAAUUUC
rnacentral:lncRNA from 1 species